CACGUAGGGUGCGAGCGUUGUCCGGAAUUACUGGGCGUAAAGCGCGCGCAGGCGGUCCUUCAAGUCAGAGGUGAAAGCCCAGAGCUCAACUCUGGGAUGGCCUUUGAGACUAGAGGACUUGGGUACGGGAGAGGUGAGUGGAAUUCCGAGUGUAGAGGUGAAAUUCGUAGAUAUUCGGAAGAACACCAGUGGCGAAGGCGGCUCACUGGCCCGUUACCGACGCUCAGGCGCGACAGCGUGGGGGAGCAAACAGG
rnacentral:rRNA from 1 species